AGAGUUUGAUCCUGGCUCAGGACGAACGCUGGCGGCGCGCCUAACACAUGCAAGUCGAGCGAGAACCAGGGCUUCGGCCCUGGGGACAGCGGCGAACGGGUGAGUAACACGUGGAUAACCUGCCCUCGGCACCGGAAUAGCCCGGGGAAACCCGGAUUAAUGCCGGAUAGCCCCACAUCCCUGCGGGGAACGUGGGAAAAGGUAGCUUCGGCCUCUGGCCGAGGAUGGGUCCGCGGUGGAUUAGCUUGUUGGUGCGGGUAAUGGCCCACCAAGGCGACGAUCCAUAGCUGGUCUGAGAGGACGAUCAGCCACACUGGGACUGAGACACGGCCCAGACUCCUACGGGAGGCAGCAGUGGGGAAUCUUGCGCAAUGGGCGAAAGCCUGACGCAGCGACGCCGCGUGCGGGAAGAAGGCCUUCGGGUUGUAAACCGCUUUCAGGAGGGACGAAGCCACUCGGGUUAAUAGCCCAGAGGGUGACGGUACCUCCAGAAGAAGCCCCGGCUAACUACGUGCCAGCAGCCGCGGUA
rnacentral:rRNA from 1 species